UACGUAGGGACCAAGCGUUGUUCGGAUUUACUGGGCGUAAAGGGCGCGUAGGCGGCUUGGUAAGCGUGCGGUGAAAGCCCGGGGCUCAACCCCGGGUCGGCCGUGCGAACUGCUGGGCUGGAGCACUGUAGAGGCAGGUGGAAUUCCGGGUGUAGCGGUGGAAUGCGUAGAGAUCCGGAAGAACACCGGUGGCGAAGGCGGCCUGCUGGGCAGUAGCUGACGCUGAGGCGCGACAGCGUGGGGAGCAAACAGG
rnacentral:rRNA from 1 species